rnacentral:rRNA from 1 species
CCUACGGGAGGCUGCAGUGAGGAAUAUUGCACAAUGGGGGAGACCCUGAUGCAGCGACGCCGCGUGAGUGAAGAAGUAUCUCGGUACGUAAAGCUCUAUCAGCAGGGAAGAAAAUGACGGUACCUGACUAAGAAGCUCCGGCUAACUACGUGCCAGCAGCCGCGGUAAUACGGAGGGGGCGAGCGUUAUCCGGAUUUACUGGGUGUAAAGGGAGCGUAGACGGCAGCACAAGUCUGGAGUGAAAUCCCGGGGCUUAACCCCGGAACUGCUUUGGAAACUGUGCGGCUGGAGUGCAGGAGGGGUAAGCGGAAUUCCUGGUGUAGCGGUGAAAUGCGUAGAUAUUAGGAGGAACACCGGUGGCGAAGGCGGCUUACUGGACUGUAACUGACGUUGAGGCUCGAAAGCGUGGGGAGCAAACAGGAUUAGAUACCCGUGUAGUC